GGGAACCGAAGAUGAAAGAAUAGUCUCCUGGCGAGGGUACAGUUGACAUCCUUCAAAAGUAUCCUGUCCCAGAUUGCGACAUAUGGUUCAUCAAGUUUGCAUGCGAUUUCCAAUUCAAAGCAGCAAUUAUAAGGAAUAGGGAAGGGAAGAUUUACCUUUGGGAUAUGCAAACCAGCCCGCCUGUUCUAAUUGCGA